CCUUAAAAAAAGAGAUGGCCCAGUUGAACUUUAACCCCUUCCUCUUCACCGGGUAGAAAAUUGCAGAGCCUGCAUGUGGUAAAACCCCAACUCUACCCAAAACGCUGAUAGGCAAUUACGUGGAGGGGAGCAUAGAGUCUGAAAAUAACCAAGUGCUCCGUGCUUUUGUACCCACACUGCUCUUACCGAGCCUGCCCACGUGACAGUGAGAAACUUUCCCUUCUCUGAGCUCCUCUGGCUUUGCUCCAUGGAUAUGUGACAACAAGAACCUGACGUUAUGGCUGCUCCCAGUUCCUUUCAUGUGCUGCAUUCUCUCUCCCAUCAAAUGGCCAAGACAGACUUGGCAGUUGUUCACUUCUGAGGAAAUGUACUGAGGCUGCUUCUUUGAUUGUACACUGUCAGCAAUCAGAACACAUCUCCACAUCCAGCAAGUUUGAACAGAUGCUUCUCUCUUGGGUUAUCAUUAGUCGUCAUCGUCAUCAUCAUCAUCACAAUUUUUACCAUGAUGGUCACACUUUGUGUUCAUUUCUAGCCUAGCGUUACUCUGUGUAACCACACCAGAUGUAAGAUGUGCAGUUUGCAGGAACUAAUUAUGCUGCAGCUUAUUUCUGAUACACACAAAAAUAUUUCAACACCUCAGCAGUUCUGGUGACCCCAGGUGAGAAGAUUUCUGUGAAGUCUGCGUCUGGUGAUGUGAAUGCAAAUGAAUAAGAGAGAAGAGCUAGAGAAAGAGAUAGGAAAGCUGUUCCCACUGCACCAAAGACUACCUGCCCAAUCUGUUUAUUUAAGCUAACUAUUUUAUCUUGGAUUCUGUACCACAUCCAUCCCAAUGCUAGGAGCACGUCACAGGUCCCAGCACCGCUCUGAGGAAGGAUGGAGAAGAUGCCCUCAUAAUGUGUGUUCUUCUAUAGUGCAUUUCCAACCACACAGCCCAAUGCAUUGCUUCAACCAUAGGUCAGCCCCACUUCUUGAGCCUGUAGAUAUGCGGCUAUAAGAAGCAUGAGCAAGGAUGGCUGGGAAGGGUAUCGCCCUCGGAGAAUUGCGUGGGCUGGGGGAAGACUUCAAAAGGAUAAUCUGUCCUAUGAGUGGGUACACAUGGGGAUUACAUCACCCCCCCGUUCU